rnacentral:rRNA from 1 species
AAUAUUGGACAAUGGGCGGAAGCCUGAUCCAGCCAUGUCGCGUGUGUGAAGAAGGUCUUCGGAUUGUAAAGCACUUUAAUUUGGGAGGAAGGGUUUACACCUAAUACGUGUAAACCUAGACGUUACCAAAACAAUAAGCACCGGCUAACUUCGUGGCAGCAGCCGCGGUAAUACUAAGGGUGCAAGCGUUAAUCGGAAUUACUGGGCGUAAUGCGCGAGUAGGUGGUUCGUUAAGUUGGAAGUGAAAGCCCCGGGCUCAACCUGGGAAUUGCUUUCAAAACUGGCGAGCUAGAGUACGGUAGAGGGUGGUGGAAUUUCCUGUGUAGCGGUGAAAUGCGUAGAUAUAGGAAGGAACAUCAGUGGCGAAGGCGACCACCUGGACUGAUACUGACACUGAGGUGCGAAAGCGUGGGGAGCAAACAGG